UUUCCGUAGGUGAACCUGCGGAAGGAUCAUUACCACAUAUCAUCGGGGGAGAACUUCGGUUCUCCUGUCUGAACCCUUGUCUUUUGCGUACUAUUUGUUUCCUUGGUGGGCUUGCCUGCCGAUAGGACAACCAUUAAACCUUUUGUAAUUGCAAUCAGCGUCAGAAAAAACAUAAUAAUUACAACUUUCAACAACGGAUCUCUUGGUUCUG
rnacentral:misc_RNA from 1 species